UGAGACCUCCACAAGCCCGGUCCGUUCGGAUCCAAACUACUGAACGGACCCUCGUUCGGUAGAUAGAAACAACUGAACGAGGGGAUUCAGGCGAACCCUCCCUAGUCUCUGUAACUGGAGGCUUUCGUGUAAACUAUUCCCUUGUUCCAGGACCGACCGCAGGGCCCCAUUGCAUGGAACCCAAUUCGGCUACUUUUUCCAGCGCGGUCGGUCAUUUUAUUCCCUCCAUAAAUUUCCCGAACCCCUGGUCUGAUCUGGGUGAUUUUUGGAUAUGUUGUUCACCCAGAUCAGGGCUACCUGGGGAUGUAUAAUUUAAAGUGGUACCCCUAGGUUUAGGGGUACAUCCAGAAACGGGGGGAUUGGUGUCCUGGAUAGGGGGAUUAUGAUGCAGGCUGAGGGAAGGAGAUGUGUGGGAGGUUACUAGAACAGGAUUGGC